rnacentral:piRNA from 1 species
UUCUGACAGAGGCAUUCCCUACCAGGA